AAUAGAUACCCGGGUAGUCCACGCCCUAAACGAUGUCUACUGGUUGUCGGUCAGGAUACUGAUUGGUAACGAAGCUAACGCGUGAAGUAGACCGCCUGGGGAGUACGGUCGCAAGAUUAAAACUCAAAGGAAUUGACGGGGACCCGCACAAGCGGUGGAUGAUGUGGAUUAAUUCGAUGCAACGCGAAAAACCUUACCUACGCUUGACAUGCUUGGAACCUUACAGAGAUGUGAGGGUGCCCGAAAGGGAGCCAAGACACAGGUGCUGCAUGGCUGUCGUCAGCUCGUGUCGUGAGAUGUUGGGUUAAGUCCCGCAACGAGCGCAACCCUUGCCAUUAGUUGCUACGAAAGAGCACUCUAAUGGGACUGCCGGUGAUAAACCGGAGGAAGGUGGGGAUGACGUCAAGUCCUCAUGGCCCUUAUGCGUAGGGCUUCACACGUCAUACAAUGGUCGGUACAGAGGGUUGCCAACCCGCGAGGGGGAGCCAAUCUCAGAAAACCGAUCGUAGUCCGGAUUGCAGU
rnacentral:rRNA from 1 species